GCUAAGGACCCUGUGAAUCGCAGAGCUUGUCACAUUCUGGAAUGCUGUGACGGGCUGGCCCAGGACGUCAUCGGCUCCAUCGGACAAGCCUUUGAGCUCCGGUUUAAGCAAUAUUUGCAGUGUCCUUCCAAGAUCCCCGCUCUCCAUGACCGAAUGCAGAGUCUGGAUGAGCCCUGGAAUGAAGAGGAGAGUGAUGGCUCAGACCGCCCAUACUACAACAGCAUUCCAAGCAAGACACCUCCUCCAGGGGGCUUUGUUGAUGCUCGACUCAAAGCCAGAUCCCACGCCCCUGACACAGCCCAGUUUGCAGGAAAUGAGCAAAC